rnacentral:rRNA from 1 species
GACGAACGCUGGCGGCGUGCUUAACACAUGCAAGUCGAACGGAAAGGCCCUUCGGGGUGCUCGAGUGGCGAACGGGUGAGUAACACGUGGGUGAUCUGCCCUGCACUUUGGGAUAAGCCUGGGAAACUGGGUCUAAUACCGAAUAUGAUCAUCGGCUUCAUGGUCGGUGGUGGAAAGCUUUUGCGGUGUGGGAUGGGCCCGCGGCCUAUCAGCUUGUUGGUGGGGUAAUGGCCUACCAAGGCGACGACGGGUAGCCGGCCUGAGAGGGUGACCGGCCACACUGGGACUGAGAUACGGCCCAGACUCCUACGGGAGGCAGCAGUGGGGAAUAUUGCACAAUGGGCGCAAGCCUGAUGCAGCGACGCCGCGUGAGGGAUGACGGCCUUCGGGUUGUAAACCUCCUUCAGCACAGACGAAGCGCAAGUGACGGUAUGUGCAGAAGAAGGACCGGCCAACUACGUGCCAGCAGCCGCCGUAA